GUCCCGUGAUUGCGCGCGCAGACGUGCGGGAGUUCCCUUGGAGCCUCCCGGGCUGUAGCCGCUGCGGACUGGGGCGGAGGUGGGGGCGGGGGCGAGUGGGGUGCAGGUCGCUCGGGGCCACGCAGCAGUCGGACGCCGGGGACGCGCCACGAGCCGGUUUUGCUGUGUUGAACGUAUUCCAGAAUACAGUGUGCAAUGGUCAGUGCCGUUGACCUCAGAAGGACACCCGUCACCGGGAAUUUCCACCUGGAGAUAUCUUAGAUAUCUUCAGUCUUUUCGAAAGUGCAGUACAUAAGAUAUUUUAUUUUACAUAAACAAUGUAGGCAUCUUGCAACUAUUUAGAGAAGCCAUACUCCCCUGAAAGCUAAUUAUUUUGCUCCCACCUUUUGUCACGGUUAUUCUAGACAGCAAAAAGCCGCCUUAGAGACGGGUGACUCCUUUCGACUUUUUUUCAUGAGUAAUUUCAUGAAUUAGCAGAAUCGCCUGAUUUUCCAAACUAUCUGCUAAACUUUGAAUGGUUGAUAACAAGGAUCAUCAGCUCCCUGCCACAGGCCAAUUCAUGGCAAAUGUUCUAACCCAUACUAUGCUUAAAUCACAGGGUAAGGAAGUAGGGGACACCAAGACAUAACUAUCUGUAAAACCAGGCAGAACGCCAAAGGUGGUGUGAUUGAGAUAUAAAAGUCUUUAUGCACCACAGAAGAGGAAGAAGAAUGUUGACUAAGGGCGUGGAUAAGGCAUUAUGGAGACAUAACCUGACAUAAACGCUGAGUUUAAUUUUGACAGGCUGAGAUAGACAAGAAAUGCUGCAAAUACAGUACAGAAAAUAGAGGGGGUGUUGAAGGUACAAAGAUUAAUGUUUGAGGCAGAUGAUUUAUAGGGUAGGGAAAGUAAAUAAUACUUAGCAAGAGAUCAAGGUAUCCAAGUGGUCUAACUCUUGGCCUACCAAAACAUAUUAUGGAGAGUCUUGAAUGCUCCAAGAAGCCCAGAUUUCACUCUGCAUGCAGUGGGGGUAUAUCAGAUGUUUCUGAGCAAAAAUUUAUAUAAUCAGAGCUGCUUUGGGAAGAUGACUUUGUAGCAUUUUGAAGCAUAAAGGGAAGGGUGGGGAAGAUUGGAGGCAAAGAUCUGUCAGUCGUUGGUAAUCUUUUCAGUAGAAAGUUGCAGGAGGAAUGAAAAAUAAUACCUAAUGACCUGCGGCAUUCUCUCUCUUUCUCUCUCU
rnacentral:lncRNA from 10 species